rnacentral:rRNA from 1 species
CCCUUAGAUGUCCUGGGCUGCACGCGCGCUACACUGAUGUGUCCAGUAAGCACCUAACCUCUUCCGAAAGGAACGGGUAACCUUUGCAAAGCACAUCGUGAUGGGGAUAGAUUAUUGCAAUUAUUAGUCUUGAACGAGGAAUUCCUAGUAAGCACAAGUCAUCAGCUUGUGUUGAUUACGUCCCUGCCCUUUGUACACACCGCCCGUCGCUCCUACCGAUUGAAUGUUCCGGUGAGCUCUUCGGACUGCGCGGUCUGCAGUUUCUGCGUUCCGUGCGGAAAGUUGCGCAAACCUUAACAUUUAGAGGAAGUAGAAGUCGUAACA